rnacentral:rRNA from 1 species
AUGCCUCUGAACGGGGCCUCCUGCAGCAUCCACUUGUCACUGACCUCCCGUGCCCGGUGCUUCAGUACGCCGACGAUAACUCCUCUUAUCGUCCUCAAAGCCGAUCACAAUCAGCUCCUCAACCUCAAACUCAUUCUGGAUGACUUGUCCAACUUCACCGGGCUACCUGUCUCGUUCACGGCGGACGACCUGCUGUGCGCGACCGCGGAGAUCCUGGGGAAGAGCACCUACGGGACGGUGUACAAGGCGACCAUGGAUGGAGAACGGCAGCUACGUCGCGGUGAAGCGGCUCCGCGAGAAGAUCGCCAAGAGCCAGAAGGAGUUUGA